rnacentral:rRNA from 1 species
CCUACGGGGUGCAGCAGUGGGGAAUAUUGCACAAUGGGGGAAACCCUGAUGCAGCGACGCCGCGUGAGUGAAGGAGUAUUUCGGUAUGUAAAGCUCUAUCAGCAGGGAAGCGAAUGACGGUGACUGAGUCAGAAGCCCCGGCUAACUACGUGCCAGCAGCCGCGGUAAUACGUAGGGGGCAAGCGUUAGCCGGAUUUACUGGGUGUAAAGGGAGCGUAGACGGUGAAGAAAGUCUGAAGUGAAAGCCCGGGGCUCAACCGCGGAACUGCUUUGGAAACUUUUUGGCUGGAGUACCGGAGAGGUAAGCGGAAUUCCUAGUGUAGCAGUGAAAUGCGUAGAUAUUGGGAGGAACACCAGUGGCGAAGGCGGGUUACUGGACGGUAACUGACGUUGAGGCUCGAAGGCGUGGGGAGCAAACAGGAUUAGAUACCCGUGUAGUC